CUACAUGAUCAGCGGGCGAGUUUUCAAGGCAACAGUCAGCAGCGAUAAACCACCUGCAUAUCUCAAGGCGGGCAUAUGGUUGGAGAUAGCAGCCCUCCAGGUGCUGACACAGAACGCUCCCUGUUCUUUGUUCCCACCGGUGACAGACAGAGCGGAUGGCGACUUUUUCACUGGGAAUUAGGGAGUGUGGAAAAGGGACGGAGCGCCGGUUUAAUCAUGCCGUCCAGCACCAGGAGGAACCCUUCCAAGUGAGGCGGCCCUUUUUAAUGCUGCUUAAGAGUGUGGCUGCAUUGUAGACGCCUCUUUUUUCAAGCCAAGUCAAAGAUUGAUCGUCAACGGUGUUUUUCUGCAUAUACCUCAUGCAUAUGUUCACAGGUUAGUGUGUGUAUUGAGGGAUUGUGUGAGCCCGGCUGCAUCUGCCAUGUUUAUUACCUUUUGCUUUGUGGCUGCUUGCUUUGCCGCCGUGAGAUCAGACGCGUCUGUUUGAAUUUCUGUGCAGGGACGCUGUUUUUUUUUUCUUUUGUACCAGUGACUCUUUCUUGCUUUUGCAACAUCCCCAAACUCACCCUUCCCCCUCACACACAAACACACACACACACACCUCAGCAUCCCAUUUUCUUCUCCCCCUGUGAUAUUUCCUUACAGUGUGGUGCCUGUCAUACAGCUUGCUGUUGCGCUUGACAGUUCAGCAGCUUGUGGCUUCUGCUACUGUAUGCAUAUGCAAUUUCAUUACCGAUGCUCCCCACUGACAGAAAGUUCAGCUCUAUGUGGAUCUCUGCUUGUUUUAAAUAUCUCAGGUGACAGUCUUGUGUGGUGGUUGUGGUGCAGAAUGUUGCAGUGUUUUCCGAGCAGAUGCCUUUUUUGUGUGAAUAUACCAGUGUUCCUGUGUAGUUUUAUUGUAAUGAAUACAUUCAUGGUUUGAUUUUAUUUGAUUUUAUAUGUGUUUUGUGAUUUAUUAAUGAUAAUGUAUUUCCCUCUAGUGCCAUCACCAGAUUGACAUUUGUAGUUUUGCCUAAAAUGUCUGUGUUUGAAUGGAUUGCCAUGAAAUCCUUGUUCCCCAUCAACAGGUCAAUAUUUUAAUAAAUUUAAUAAGUAUCUUUUAUGACACUUUCGAUCUAAUCAGGUUUUCAUUAGUCUCAACUGGACUUUGUCUUUGAUGGUAAUUAAAAAAUGUUAGCAUGCUAAACUAAUAUGGUGUAGAUUGUAAACAUUAUACCACCUUUGCUAGACUGUUAAAAUAUUAGGUUAUAUUAUACAUGUUGUAAAGACUUUAUAGAAACAUCUAGUUUAGUCCUCAAAGUCUGGCCCCGCGCGUAACACCCGAAUAAUGUCUCAACACCAAAGCCAGUCAUCGUUUAACUUGAAAUUCUGUCAAUAUGUCACUUGGGAUAAAUACUUUAAUGAUGUUUGAUCCCACGCAAUAAGAGAGUGCACAUUUCGCUUUUGAGAACGUAUGUGCUCAGGAAAGCGUGGCUAAUGCAUUUCCUGUGCCCAUUUGAGCCGAGCAUGAUAGAGCGGCAGCGAUGAGGGACGUUCCUAAUCUCUCCCCACACAGGCAGGUGGCCUCUUGUCAGACAGCCAAGGCGAGAGGCGAAAUUAAACCUGGUCGCCCGUGCGUGUGGAUGAGGACCACAGCCAGACAAAUGAAUGACUCCCACACGUCCAUUUUGGACUCUGGAUCAGUUUCUCGUUUUUUUCCCAAGUCAAAUACUGCAAUAUUUUUUUGAAUCUAUGAAAUAACCUUUGUUGCCUAAAACAAAGAGACGCAGAAGCGGCCCUGACCGAGCCUCUGCAUGUGACGAGUUGAGUGAGUAAAGGACCCUCGGAAGAUUGGGUAUUUUAUUACCAAGUAUCAGAGCGGGUUUACUUAGUUUUAUGCAAUAAAACACUUUUCUUUUGGUUUAGGCAACGAAGGCACUUUGUUAUGUCCUUAAAUUAGGUCAACGUUGACUUUGUUUCAGAUAGUAAAGAAACAAAUGUGUUUGUCUGACUCAUGCAUUCAUCCUCCACCCGUCCCACUCACGUUACACAGACUCACCGCAUCAGUUGCUUGGACGUCUAAUAAUGACGCAAAAGGUGUUAGAUUUGCGUUGGUUUCAGACAGAACAACUAGUUGUCUGGUCUGAAGGAGACCUUGAGCAGUUGAGGGACUUCUCUGUUUUGUGAUUCUACAGCUUGGAUGCCGAGGGCUGAAUAAUUAAAUUGAGAUCACAAGGCUGUUUUUUUUUCUUGUUAAAACACGAGACUCAGGGUUAUAAGGUAAAUGCACACAAAGAAACCAAAUCCACACCUUGGGUGUUUUAUAAUAGUUCAUGUGGAUCAGUGUGAUCCUAUGGACAUUUUUGAAUAUUCUCUUGUCCUACACUUGAUAAUUGUAUCUCCUUUAAAGCACAUUGAAGCCAUUAAAACAUUGCCCACUCGUGCUUGUUGUUGAUGAAAACAAAUUACUCCCUCCCCCGCCGGAGUCAGAGAAUGACCUUGGGACUGGUGGUGAUGCUGUGGCUCAGACAGAAAACCAACCAAACGGACAUGUGACUGUUACAGAAAAAUAAAAAAUGACAAUCUGUAAGGUAGUCUGGUAGACUGCGCGUAGGCCUAAAGGUUUCCUGAUCAUUUGGGUUCCAUUCUGUAUUCCUCGCUUUCCAUUUAUACACCCCGUCACCCUUCAAUAAUUAUUGGAUGGAUGACAUUUAGUAGAAACAUUCACUUUGAAAAUUCACUUUCUUUUUGAAAAGGACGUUAACUAAAAGUGUCUCUAUGUGUGU